UACGUAGGUCGCAAGCGUUGUCCGGAUUUACUGGGCGUAAAGAGCGCGCAGGCGGCUGGUCAAGUCCGAUGUGAAAUCUCCCGGCUCAACUGGGAAACUGCAUCGGAAACUGAUCGGCUUGAAGAUGGGAGAGGGUAGUGGAAUUCCCGGUGUAGUGGUGAAAUUCGUAGAUAUUCGGAAGAACACCAGUGGCGAAGGCGACAUACUGGUCCGUUACUGACGCUGAGGCGCGAAAGCGUGGGGAGCAAACAGG
rnacentral:rRNA from 1 species